UGCGGAAUUUUAGAUAAUGGAGGGAACUCUGAUCUAGCGACGCCGCGUGCAGGAGGAAGGUCUUCGGAUUGUAAACUGCUGUGGUAAGGGAAAAAUGCUAUCUAGAGUGGAAAGCUACAUAGAGGGAUGGUACCUUACUAGAAAGCCCCGGCUAACUACGUGCCAGCAGCCGCGGUAAUACGUAGGGGGCGAGCGUUACCCGGAAUCACCGGGCGUAAAGGGAGCGUAGGUGGCCUAACAUGUCAACUGUGAAAACCCGGAGCUCAACUCCGGACUUGCAGUUGAAACUGGUAGGCUUGAGGACGGUAGAGGAAGACGGAACUGCCAGUGUAGGGGUAAAAUCCUUAGAUAUUGGCAGGAACGCCGGUGACGAAGGUGGUUUUCUGGGCCGGUUCUGACACUGAUGCUCGAAAGCCAGGGGAGCGAACGG
rnacentral:rRNA from 1 species